rnacentral:rRNA from 1 species
CCUACGGGAGGCAGCAGUGAGGAAUAUUGGUCAAUGGACGAGAGUCUGAACCAGCCAAGUAGCGUGAAGGAUGACUGCCCUAUGGGUUGUAAACUUCUUUUAUAAAGGAAUAAAACGAGGCACGUGUGCCUUUUUGCAUGUACUUUAUGAAUAAGGAUCGGCUAACUCCGUGCCAGCAGCCGCGGUAAUACGGAGGAUCCGAGCGUUAUCCGGAUUUAUUGGGUUUAAAGGGAGCGUAGAUGGGUUGUUAAGUCAGUUGUGAAAGUUUGCGGCUCAACCGUAAAAUUGCAAUUGAUACUGGCAGUCGUGAGUACAGUUGAGGUAGGCGGAAUUCGUGGUGUAGCGGUGAAAUGCUUAGAUAUCACGAAGAACCCCGAUUGUGAAGGCAGCUUACUAAACUGUGACUGACAUUGAUGCUCGAAAGUGUGGGUAUCAAACAGGAUUAGAUACCCGAGUAGUC